rnacentral:lncRNA from 1 species
GUUUAGUGAAGAACCUAAUUCUGCUGACCGAUACAGCCAGAGAAGGGAUAAAUGUGGCCAAAGUUCAGCAGGAAAUGGAACAGGAGAUCUUUCUAUUAACAGGAAAGAGAAGGAAGCUUCAGUUUCGAUGGUCAUCAACCAAGACGACCUCAGGCCAACAGCUGUACACAAAUCCACCAAAGAUCUAAUCAGCCACGAGAGACAGACUCUAAGGCUCAAAACCGAAGAACGAUUAAGCUCAUCCCUCUCCAGAGAAAAACCUCAUCCAGUUUCCUCCAUCCCUGUUAUUGUUGACUGGCUCCGAGUGCAGCCCCUUACUCUGUCUCCCAUCUUAACAAGCCCCAAGGAGUGCCCAGCCUGA